GAUGAACGCUGGCGGCGUGCCUAAUACAUGCAAGUCGAGCGAACAGAUAAGGAGCUUGCUCCUUUGACGUUAGCGGCGGACGGGUGAGUAACACGUGGGUAACCUACUUAUAAGACUGGGAUAACUUCGGGAAACCGGAGCUAAUACCGGAUAACAUUUGGAACCGCAUGGUUCUAAAGUGAAAGAUGGUUUUGCUAUCACUUAUAGAUGGACCCGCGCCGUAUUAGCUAGUUGGUAAGGUAACGGCUUACCAAGGCGACGAUACGUAGCCGACCUGAGAGGGUGAUCGGCCACACUGGAACUGAGACACGGUCCAGACUCCUACGGGAGGCAGCAGUAGGGAAUCUUCCGCAAUGGGCGAAAGCCUGACGGAGCAACGCCGCGUGAGUGAUGAAGGGUUUCGGCUCGUAAAACUCUGUUAUUAGGGAAGAACAAAUGUGUAAGUAACUGUGCACGUCUUGACGGUACCUAAUCAGAAAGCCACGGCUAACUACGG
rnacentral:rRNA from 1 species